rnacentral:rRNA from 1 species
GACGUAGGAGGCGAGCGUUAUCCGGAAUCACUGGGCGUAAAGGGCAAGUAGGCGGUUGUUCAAGUUGGGCGUGACAGAUCUCGGCUUAACUGAGAGAGGACGUUCAAUACUGAGCGACUAGAGGGCAGGAGAGGAAAGUGGAACUCCCGAUGUAGCGGUGGAAUGCUCAGAUAUCGGGAAGAACACCGGUGGCGAAGGCGGCUUUCUGGCCUGUACCUGACGCUGAGAGGCGAAAGCUAGGGGAGCGAACGGGCUUAGAUACCCCGGUAGUCCUAGCCGUAAACGUUGGAUACUGGGUAAUGGUGGUCAAGGCCAUCAGUGCCGAAGCAAACGCGUUAAGUAUCCCGCCUGGGGACUACGACCGCAAGGUUAAAACUCAAAGGAAUUGACGGGGACCCGCACAAGCAGCGGAGCGUGUGGUUUAAUUCGAUGCUACACGAAGAACCUUACCUGGGCUUGACAUGCACGUCGUAGGGGACCGAAAGGCGACCGAUCCUUCGGGAAGCGUGCACAGGUGCUGCAUGGCU